AGCUGAGGCUGGAGGUUCCUGAAGAAGCCAUCAUGCUAUUUUCAUCCAAAAUGUCAGCACUGCAGAAGAGCAAUGGCAGCACUUCAGCACUGCAGUGACGUUUUGUACCCUCUGGCACACAAGGCUGCUAAGAUUUUGGGUUGAGGUUGUUUGACAAUAAGAGCAUCAUUUGAGGAAUGAACACCAAUCAAGUGCAACACUUAAGAUUUAUCAGAGCCGUGUAAGGGGAGCACAGCCAUGGGAAGCAGAGGACAUACUCACUUCCUCUCAUGGAGGAUUUCAUUUUCUUCUUUGCUGAGAAGACUAGUCUCCUUUGCCCUGAAGUAUUAACAAAUAUACCAGCUUCCAAUGAAGACAGGCUGCCCUAUAUCUAUCAAUAGAAUCUAUAUAGAAUCUUUUCCCUUAGGGAUUAAUUCAACUUUUGAUUCAAUCUUUCUGAGCUUUAAAUUAUGAUGUUACAAACCUCCAAGGAACUGCUGUACUAUUUGUGACCUUCUUUAUUACUUUCUGCUGUUUGAUAAAGUAGAGAAAAUUGAUUUAUAGAUUAGUUUGCUUGUGAACAUUGAAUAUCAAUGGUGAGAACGUGAUUCGCAGAAAAGCAGGAGAAGGUGGCAUUGGUUAAAGUUUAAUAUAGCAAUAUUAAUUAAUGGUGAAGGACAACAGAAUAACUGCACAUUAAUCUUCAAAGAGAUCCUGGAAGUGCAAUGUGAAAUAAUAGUGAUGAAUCAAGGCAUCUUGCAAGAGCUGAAUUUAAAGUUUUCAAAAUAUUUUCCUCAAAGAAUAAUUUUGUCCAUUGCUUCCACUUCUCUCCCCUAAACUUCUCUCUCUUCUCCUUAAGACCUGAUAGUCGUUUUUGUGUUUUCUGUAAGCAUUAAAGGUUAAAGGUGGUAGGAGAGGCAGUUUUCCAAAUGGAGCCUAAAAUUAGGUGUUGGUUUCUGUAUUUGGAAUAUUAGGCCCCAAUCCAAGAGUCUAUUUUUAUUCAAAGCAGCCGAGCACUUGACUUCAAUGGAUCUAAAAACACUCAUGCUUAAGUGCUUUGCUGAAUCAGGACAGACUUAAGCACAAAUGUAAACGCUGUGCUGAAUUGGGGCUCUAUAUAUGUGGCUUGAUUUUUAAAAGUGCUGAGAGACAGCAGGUCUAAUUGAAGUCGAUGGGAGCUGCGAGAUGCUCAGCGAUUCUGAAAAUCAGGCCACUCAUUGAGGUGCCUGAAUCUGAUUUCAGGUGCUCAGCUUGCAAUAUUCACUAUGGGGAAAAAUGGUGACCCAGGCAAUGGAAAGCCCUGAUUUUACGCAAUAAACCUUAAUAAUGUAAAAACAGGAGAUGGGAGGCAAUAUUUUCCUGGAAAUUUAAUGUGCUGUGCUUUUUUUGGCAAGCAUCAAAAGUGCUAUGCAAAAAUAUGAAAUGAAUAAACAAAUGAAAUUAGAAAGCCUAGUAACUGGAGAAAUAUUGGGCUAAAUUCAUUCCUUGAGGAACAGCAGCAAGACUGAUGAAAUACAACAGGAAUGAUUUGGCCUAUUACGUUUUGAGCAUUAAUUUGAUCAGAGUCAACAACACAAACCCACAGAGUGAGGAACUUCACUCUACCACCCUUGCAAGAGCCAAGCAGAACAGUUUGGAUUAGCAAAUGGUAAAAAUGCAAAAGCUAAACAUUUUUGCAAGUUACGGAGCAUAAAUUAAACAGCAAUGUUAGGAAGAGAGAUGAGGUGGAGGCUGGUUGUUUUGAGAAAAGCAAUUUUUUCGAGUGAAUUCAGUAGUCCUCUCCUUAAAGAGCACAGCCAGGCUGUCCAGCAGCUGCCCUGUGCUGCUCCUCACGUGGCAGCUGGGUCCCUGCCGAGGCGACAUUCGACGAGAAGACUCAGCCACAUGGUGCUGUGCUGUGAGCCCCCAGAGAAGGCUGUUGCCACAGCAGAACAAGCCUGCAGCCAUGAAAUACCUACCUGUGAAUGAACCCUGGGCAAACCAAACAAAAGCCAUUCUUCCCCUAUUUCUGUGCAUGUAAAGGAGAGGGGUGUGAAUAGGCCCCAUCUCUGGGCCUACCUGUUGCCUGCCCAGUGGCAAUGCUGCCAUGGAAGCCCAUGUGCUGCACACUCUAUCAUCCUCAGAGUCAGGAAAGCCACACUCGUCCAGCCACCUACCUACCUGUCCGGUCCUCCUGAUCUGUCUGCUGAAACAGGGCUGGUGAAGAACUCUCAUGAGAGGCUUACUCCCAGAACAGGUGUUUAUCAUCUCUGGAUGGAAGAUGCCAACCAUUCUGCACUUCUCAGUCCCUACUACCUGCACGGGGAUCUAGUGUGGCCACAUAGAAAAGUCCUUACAUUCCCCACCCCCUUCUAACUCAAACCACAACUCUUAAACUCCACUGAGAAUGUUCUGAAAGUUUUCUGACAUGGUUUAUGGCACAGCUCGUCAAUGGACUUGGGUAGUCAUGGCAGAAAGGUACCACUUUCUACCAUUAAAUAUAUCAAAACUGGUGAUGCUGUGCCCUGUACAAAGUGCAGUAGUGCAGGCAUGCUCUGGCCAAUAAUCUGAAAUAAAUUACAACCAUUGGAAAGAAUAACAGAAAACCCACUACACAACCAAUUGUGGGGGGAAAAAAAACCUGUAAUAAGAAUGAGAAACAGAAAUGGAUUUGAAACAUUCGUUUCCCUUUAUUUUCUCAGUGAGGCUGAUGUGUACUGCACAUUAAAAAAAAAGAAAAAAAUCACAGGAAUUUUCAUACAAUGAAUUAAACCACAAAAGUACAUGUAGAAUCGGCAGGUGGAAAAUAGCCCAGCUUGGGCUUAACUACUAUCUCACUUCCCCUGUUCAGCAUAGUCCAACCUACAACUUUACAUGUUCACCUACUGUACAAAUCUUACAGUAGCUGCAUCAGGUCAGUGGUUCACAUUAUUGAAAAUGUCUGUCACAAAGGUACAAAUUUAGAAUCAUCACAUUAUAUUACAUGGCUAUUCUAGUUCAUUUAUAGAUCAGAUCUUAUACUAUAGUGAUUGAAGUUCUCAUUACAGCCAUUAAGAAGGACACAUAAUCAUUACCUACUGUAGGCUUAUAUCUAAAGGGAUGAGAAGGAGGUGUGGUUGUGUUUGUUGUUUUUUUUUUUCAACUGACCCAAGUAUUAUUACCCCAGAGGCACAAACUUUCCUCUCAGUGCUGCUAUUUGUGAUGGCAGCCCAACUGCUUUUCAGAGUACUUUAGCACAGAUAUUUUUCUUCAACUUUAGGCUCCCUCUGUUUGGAUUAGUAUUUAGAUAAUUUUCCAUUCUGUAGGAAUUACUCAGUUACAGCUCUAGGAAAGACCACAGUUCCUAAGUACCAGUUCUGUUACCUGUAUUGUGGAUGUGGUACUUACCACAGCAUGAAAGCAACAGUAUGGUCUUCUUAUAAAAAACACACAGAGCUAUACUGCAAUUUGCCACUGGUGACAAUGUGGUACAUGUGCUAAUUUGAAAUGUUCUUGGGGAAGAAAACAAGAAAAGUAAACACUGAGUUUAUAUUUUGAUGGAUUUCCUACUACAGUGUCUAUGAAAGAUCCAAAUAGCUUUAUUCAGCAAUCUAUUAAUUUCAUAUGUAAUUUGUAAAUCCACAGAGGAAAGUCAUCUUCAAGAUGAAAAUGUUUGCCAGGCCAGUGAAAAAAAAAAAAAAAUUGACUCACUUCAUUAUGCCUGCUUGGUGAAAAAUAAAUAAUGCCCCACAAAAACCCCACACCAAUUUCUUAAUGUCAGCAAUCUAGGGCAAAAGAGAACAUUUUAAAAUUUAAUGACAGAAAUGUAAAGGCAAAAUAGAUAAUGCAUCUGGUCCUUGAACACAUAAUAUGAUAUACUAAAUAUUGAUUUCUUAAAAAUAAUUUAUUGCUUUUAAUAUUUUUCUUUACAACAGAAGAUACUCAAAAUCCAGAAAGGAAAACUGUAAACUUUUAGUUUGGCAUUCACACAAAGUUAAAAUACCUGCAUUUUUAACCUACAGAGCAACAACAAGAAUUAUGCAGAGUAAAGGAUGUUACAUUUGUAACACAGAACUUCCAGAAAAGUUCUUUUCUUUUUUUUAUUUUUUUGUUUUAUUGCUAUCUAUCUACUGAGAAAUAAGAAGCCAAAAAAUCAAGCAAGCAUCCGACAGGACAGACAGUGGAAUCUCUCAGAACACAAUAUGCUGGUGAUAAAAUGAAUGCAGCCAUCAAAAUCAACUGCACUGGUAUGGGGGUAGAAUCAGUUUUUUAAGAUUUGGAGUGGGAAGAUAGAUUAAAUAGUUAGGUGUGCCAUACCUUUAAGAGGAGUCAUGAAUGCCAAAGAGUAAUAGAAUAAGAAAUCUAUACAUUCACAAGCAAAUUCCAAACUUUGCUGAUUCAGUAGAGACUCCGAGUUCAGAUGAAAUUCUGAUGCUCAGAAUAGCAGUAGUUUAUACUCUUGUGGUUUUUUUCUUUCCUGAAAUUUCUAUUUAAUUUAACAGAAGCAAUGUCAUCAGCAACAAUGUCAUCGGCACAUUUGAGGCCAUGCUAGUGCAUAGUAAAAAAAAAGGAAGAAAAACCAAAACCAACCCACUGCUUCUGCAAAAGCGGAAUUUCCAAACAAAGCACUUGCUUACUCCAAACUGACAACCAUCAUGCAUCCUAGGUAUAAAAUUUCCACUGGCCUUUUUAUUCUUUUAGUCAUCUCAUAAUUUAUAAUAAAUAGGAUAAUUAUAACUGAUAAAUAUGUCUCUUUAGUAAACAAAGGAAUGAAGGAUUGGUAUUUAUACAGGAUGCAUAACUGUAAAAAAUAUAGAUAAAUACCAUCAUUAAACUCUGCCAAUGAAAAGAUUACUGGCUUCAAGAACAGUGGUUAGACACAGAAUUACAGUAAAAAUCAUACUGUACUUAGUACCUCAGCAUAUUAUUAUCAAACUAAAAUCACAAAAAUUAAAACAAAAUAGCAUUUUAAAAAGAUUUUUGACCUCUAGUUCCAAAACUACUGUUGAUACAUAAAAUAAAAACAUUUCUUAAUGAUUACCCAUUUGAGAGACUUUACAUAAAAUUAUGAUAUUUUCUAGAAAAAUUUAGAUGAGAAAAUUUCAUUCCCCUAACAAAUUCAGUGUAUAAAACUGCAAAAGAAAAUCAAGCAAUGAGAAAAAUGUGGAAAAAUACUGCAGAAGGUGGUUCAUAUCUUUUGGGCUAGGAUAAUUCUUGACAAAAUUCUUAUAUAAGCUCACCAAAGAAGGGAUGAAUGUGUAUAAUGCAUUUUUGCACUCAGACACACAUGCACACAUAUGCACACUCACACCCUCACCCACACGCUUUUCUCUUUGUUUUUACAAUCAAAUAUAUAUAAGCAUAAGUUCAGCUUUCUACAUAUGUUAGUGUACAAUAAUUGUUUCACCUCAUAUAAUUACAUUUGAGUAUUCUUGAUUAAGAAAAAUUCAGCAGUUUUUGAAAAGAAGGCUGCAUUUACAGUGCAUAGCUGUAACAAAAAAGAACAUCGUCAUACAGUAUGUACAUAAAUAAAAAUACUCCAUUUAACAUUUGUAAAUACUCAACUACUUUAGAGAAUGUAGCAAAUAAACUAUCUGUGCACACACCCAGAUAGUUAUAUCCAACUCUCAUUAAUAAUGUAACACCACGUCCGCUCAUUAGAAUAAAUCGCUGAACAAGCUGCACAUUUGACCAUUAACAAGGCUUUGAAAAUUUUGCUGUGGAAGAUCAAUGUUGUAGACAUUUACAUGGGUGUCAGAAUUAAAAGAUGAAACUUCAAAAUGUUAGGGAAGCUUGAGCCUUUUAAUUUUCUUUUCUAAAAAAAA